rnacentral:rRNA from 1 species
AAGACAACAGGGAUUGCCCUAGUAACGGCGAGUGAAGCGGCAACAGCUCAAAUUUGAAAUCUGGCGUCUUUGGCGUCCGAGUUGUAAUUUGCAGAGGGCGCUUUGGCAUCGGCAGCGGUCCAAGUUCCUUGGAACAGGACGUCACAGAGGGUGAGAAUCCCGUACGUGAUCGCUAGCCUUUACCGUGUAAAGCCCCUUCGACGAGUCGAGUUGUUUGGGAAUGCAGCUCUAAAUGGGAGGUAAAUUUCUUCUAAAGCUAAAUACUGGCCAGAGACCGAUAGCGCACAAGUAGAGUGAUCGAAAGAUGAAAAGCACUUUGGAAAGAGAGUUAAAAAGCACGUGAAAUUGUUGAAAGGGAAGCGCUUGCAGCCAGACUUGCCUGUAGUUGCUCAUCCGGGUUUCUACCCGGUGCACUCUUCUAUAGGCAGGCCAGCAUCAGUUUGGGCGGUUGGAUAAAGGUCUCUGUCAUGUACCUCUCUUCGGGGAGAACUUAUAGGGGAGACGACAUGCAACCAGCCUGGACUGAGGUCCGCGCAUCUGCUAGGAUGCUGGCGUAAUGGCUGUAAGCGGCCCGUCUUGAAACACGGACCAAGGAGUCUAACAUCUAUGCGAGUGUUUGGGUGUCAAGCCCGAACGCGUAAUGAAAGUGAACGGAGGUGGGAACCUUUCGGGGUGCACCAUCGACCGAUCCUGAUGUCUUCGGAUGGAUUUGAGUAAGAGCAUAGCUGUUGGGACCCGAAAGAUGGUGAACUAUGCUUGAAUAGGGUGAAGCCAGAGGAAACUCUGGUGGAGGCUCGCAGCGGUUCUGACGUGCAAAUCGAUCGUCAAAUUUGGGCAUAGGGGCGAAAGACUAAUCGAACUAUCUAGUAGCUGGUUCCUGCCGAAGUUUCCCUCAGGAUAGCAGUAACGUUUUCAGUUUUAUGAGGUAAAGCGAAUGAUUAGAGGCCUGGGGGUUGAAACAACCUUCACCUAUUCUCAAACUUUAAAUAUGUAAGAAGUCCUUGUUACUUGAUUGAACGUG